GCGCAAGUAUCGCCGGAUAUUUGCAUCAAAGUGUUAAUAAUCAUCUCUUAGGCCUUAGACAGAGAUGAUUGUUGGCACUUUUUUAU
rnacentral:ncRNA from 1 species